CUUAAUGAAGCACAGUGGACCAACACCAGCAGAUGACAUGGAUCCCCAAAUCAACACAGACUGUGGAAACUUCACACUGGACUUCAAGCAUAUUGUAGUGUGUGCCUCUCCCUUCUUCCUCCAGACUCUGGGUCUUUGGUUUCCAAAUGAGAUGCAAAAGUUGCUCUCAUCAGAAAAGAGGACUUUGGACCACUGAGCAACAGACCAGGUCUGUUUUUCUUUAGUCCAGGUAAGACGCUUCUGAC